rnacentral:rRNA from 1 species
UACGUAGGGGGCAAGCGUUGUCCGGAUUUAUUGGGCGUAAAGAGCGUGUAGGCGGCCAGGUAGGUCAGCUGUGAAAACUCGAGGCUCAACCUCGAGACGUCGGUUGAAACCAUCUGGCUAGAGUCCGGAAGAGGAGAGUGGAAUUCCUGGUGUAGCGGUGAAAUGCGCAGAUAUCAGGAAGAACACCCGUGGCGAAGGCGGCUCUCUGGGACGGUACUGACGCUGAGACGCGAAAAGCGUGGGGAGCGAACAGG